GAGGUUAAGCGACUAAGCGUACACGGUGGAUGCCCUGGCAGUCAGAGGCGAUGAAGGACGUGCUAAUCUGCGAUAAGCGCCGGUAAGGUGAUAUGAACCGUUAUAACCGGCGAUUUCCGAAUGGGGAAACCCAGUGUGAUUCGUCACACUAUCAUUAACUGAAUCCAUAGGUUAAUGAGGCGAACCGGGGGAACUGAAACAUCUAAGUACCCCGAGGAAAAGAAAUCAACCGAGAUUCCCCCAGUAGCGGCGAGCGAACGGGGAGGAGCCCAGAGCCUGAAUCAGCAUGUGUGUUAGUGGAAGCGUCUGGAAAGGCGCGCGAUACAGGGUGACAGCCCCGUACACAAAAGCGCAUGUGCUGUGAGCUCGAUGAGUAGGGCGGGACACGUGGUAUCCUGUCUGAAUAUGGGGGGACCAUCCUCCAAGGCUAAAUACUCCUGACUGACCGAUAGUGAACCAGUACCGUGAGGGAAAGGCGAAAAGAACCCCGGCGAGGGGAGUGAAAAAGAACCUGAAACCGUGUACGUACAAGCAGUGGGAGCACAGGUUUACCUGUGUGACUGCGUACCUUUUGUAUAAUGGGUCAGCGACUUAUAUUCUGUAGCAAGGUUAACCGUAUAGGGGAGCCGUAGGGAAACCGAGUCUUAACCGGGCGUUAAGUUGCAGGGUAUAGACCCGAAACCCGGUGAUCUAGCCAUGGGCAGGUUGAAGGUUGGGUAACACUAACUGGAGGACCGAACCGACUAAUGUUGAAAAAUUAGCGGAUGACCUGUGGCUGGGGGUGAAAGGCCAAUCAAACCGGGAGAUAGCUGGUUCUCCCCGAAAGCUAUUUAGGUAGCGCCUCGUGAAUUCAUCUCCGGGGGUAGAGCACUGUUUCGGCUAGGGGGCCAUCCCGGCUUACCAACCCGAUGCAAACUGCGAAUACCGGAGAAUGUUAUCACGGGAGACACACGGCGGGUGCUAACGUCCGUCGUGAAGAGGGAAACAACCCAGACCGCCAGCUAAGGUCCCAAAGUCAUGGUUAAGUGGGAAACGAUGUGGGAAGGCCCAGACAGCCAGGAUGUUGGCUUAGAAGCAGCCAUCAUUUAAAGAAAGCGUAAUAGCUCACUGGUCGAGUCGGCCUGCGCGGAAGAUGUAACGGGGCUAAACCAU
rnacentral:rRNA from 1 species